rnacentral:rRNA from 1 species
UGAGGAAUAUUGGUCAAUGGGCGCAAGCCUGAACCAGCCAUCCCGCGUGAAGGAAGAAUGCCCUAUGGGUUGUAAACUUCUUUUCCGGAGGAAUAAAAUCCCGAACGAGUCUGGGACUGAAGGUACUCCGGUAAUAAGCAUCGGCUAACUCCGUGCCAGCAGCCGCGGUAAUCCGGACGAUGCGAGCGUUAUCCGGAUUUAUUGGGUUUAAAGGGUGCGUAGGCGGAUUAAUACGUCAGUGGUGAAAACCUGCAGCUUAACUGUAGGCUUGCCAUUGAUACUGUUAGUCUUGAGUACGGUCAAGGUAGGCGGAAUGUGUAAUGUAGCGGUGAAAUGCUUAGAUAUUACACAGAACAACGAUUGCGAAGGCAGCUUACUGGGCCGUAACUGACGCUGAUGCACGAAAGCGUGGGGAGCGAACA